rnacentral:rRNA from 1 species
GAUGAACGCUGGCGGCGUGCCUAAUACAUGCGAGUCGAGCGAACAGACGAGGAGCUUGCUCCUCUGACGUUAGCGGCGGACGGGUGAGUAACACGUGGAUAACCUACCUAUAAGACUGGGAUAACUUCGGGAAACCGGAGCUAAUACCGGAUAAUAUAUUGAACCGCAUGGUUCAAUAGUGAAAGACGGUUUUGCUGUCACUUAUAGAUGGAUCCGCGCCGCAUUAGCGAGUUGGUAAGGUAACGGCUUACCAAGGCAACGAUGCGUAGCCGACCUGAGAGGGUGAUCGGCCACCCUGGAACUGGGACACGGUCCAGACUCCUACGGGAGGCAGCAGUAGGGAAUCUUCCGCAAUGGGCGAAAGCCUGACGGAGCAACGCCGCGUGAGUGAUGAAGGUCUUCGGAUCGUAAAACUCUGUUAUUAGGGAAGAACAAAUGUGUAAGUAACUAUGCACGUCUUGACGGUACCUAAUCAGAAAGCCACGGCUAACUACGUG